UACAGGGGGUGCAAACGUUGCUCGGAAUUACUGGGCGUAAAGCGUGCGCAGGCGGUUUUGUAAGCCAGAUGUGAAAUCCCCGGGCUUAACCUGGGAAUGGCAUUUGGGACUGCAAGGCUCGAGUGCGGCAGAGGAGACUGGAAUUCCUGGUGUAGCAGUGAAAUGCGUAGAUAUCAGGAGGAACACCGAUGGCGAAGGCAGGUCUCUGGGCUGACACUGACGCUCAUGCACGAAAGCGUGGGGAGCAAACAGG
rnacentral:rRNA from 1 species